rnacentral:rRNA from 1 species
AUUGAACGCUGGCGGCAGGCCUAACACAUGCAAGUCGAGCGCGCGGCGGACGGGUGAGUAAUGUCUGGGAAACUGCCCGCUGGAGGGGGAUAACUCCUGGAGACGGUAGCUAAUACCGCAUACCAUCAGAUGUGCCCAGAUGGGAUUAGCUAGUAGGUGGGGUAACGGCUCCCCUAGGCGACGAUCCCUAGCUGGUCUGGGAGGAUGACCAGCCACACGGGAACUGAGACACGGCCCAGACUCCUACGGGAGUCAGCAGUGGGGAAUAUUGCACAAUGGGCGCAAGCCUGAUGCAGCGAUGCCGCGUGUGUGAAGAAGGCCUUCGGGUUGUAAAGCACUUUCAGCGGGGAGGCGUUACCCGCAGAAGAAGCACCGGCUAACUCCGUGCCAGCAGCCGCGGUAAUAC